rnacentral:rRNA from 1 species
CAGUCGCCGCGGUAAUACGUAGGGUCCGAGCGUUGUCCGGAAUUAUUGGGCGUAAAGGGCUCGUAGGCGGUUUGUUGCGUCGGGAGUGAAAACCCAGGGCUUAACUUUGGGCUUGCUUUCGAUACGGGCAGACUUGAGGCAUUGAGGGGAGAACGGAAUUCCUGGUGUAGCGGUGAAAUGCGCAGAUAUCAGGAGGAACACCGGUGGCGAAGGCGGUUCUCUGGCAAUGUUCUGACGCUGAGGAGCGAAAGUGUGGGGAGCGAACAGGAUUAGAUACCCCGGUAGUCCCUGUCUCUUAUAA